UACGUAGGUGGCAAGCGUUGUCCGGAUUUACUGGGCGUAAAGAGCGCGCAGGCGGUCGGAUAAGUCGAAUGUGAAAGCCCCCGGCUUAACUGGGGAGGGUCAUUCGAUACUGUUCGACUGGAAGGCAGGAGAGGGAAGCGGAAUUCCCGGCGUAGUGGUGAAAUGCGUAGAUAUCGGGAGGAACACCAGUGGCGAAGGCGGCUUCCUGGCCUGUUCUUGACGCUGAGGCGCGAAAGCUAGGGGAGCAAACGGG
rnacentral:rRNA from 1 species